GACGAACGCUGGCGGCGUGCUUAACACAUGCAAGUCGAACGAUGAACCCGGAGCUUGCUCCGGUGGAUUAGUGGCGAACGGGUGAGUAACACGUGAGUAACCUGCCCUUGACUUUGGGAUAACUGCGGGAAACUGUAGCUAAUACCGGAUACGACACCUUGGGGCAUCCCAGGGUGUGGAAAGAAUUUCGGUCAAGGAUGAGCUCGCGGCCUAUCAGCUAGUUGGUGAGGUAAUGGCUCACCAAGGCGACGACGGGUAGCCGGCCUGAGAGGGUGACCGGCCACACUGGAACUGAGACACGGGCCAGACUCCUACGGGAGGCAGCAGUGGGGAAUAUUGCACAAUGGGCGAAAGCCUGAUGCAGCAACGCCGCGUGUGGGAUGAAGGCCUUCGGGUUGUAAACCUCUUUUAGCAGGGAAGAAGCGAAAGUGACGGUACCUGCAGAAAAAGCACCGGCUAACUACGUGCCAGCAGCCGCGGUAAUAC
rnacentral:rRNA from 1 species